rnacentral:rRNA from 1 species
UACGUAUGGUGCAAGCGUUAUCCGGAUUUACUGGGUGUAAAGGGAGCGCAGGCGGUACGGCAAGUCUGAUGUGAAAGCCCGGGGCUCAACCCCGGUACUGCAUUGGAAACUGUCGGACUAGAGUGUCGGAGGGGUAAGUGGAAUUCCUAGUGUAGCGGUGAAAUGCAUAGAUAUUAGGAGGAACACCAGUGGCGAAGGCGGCUUACUGGACGAUUACUGACGCUGAGGCUCGAAAGCGUGGGGAGCAAACAGG